rnacentral:rRNA from 1 species
GCGAUCAUACCAGCACUAAUGCACCGGAUCCCAUCAGAACUCCGAAGUUAAGAGAGAGCAGUACUAGGAUGGGUGACCCCCUGGGAAGUCCUCGUGUUGCACCU